GAACUCACUGCGUACUUUGAUUUCUUGAUGGCUGACUAUGAGUACUGAAAACUCCAACCCGGCAGCGUGUAGUGCUGUGUGCCUCUCCUUAUAGAGUUAAACUCAGCCAGGCCUGCCCGAGAGAAACCCUAAACUGGCGCCACAUUCCUGCUGGAACUCUGUCACAGUCUCAGCUCAAACUGGCCUCCAGAUGGACAAGGUGAAGAGACAGAGGUCAUACCCAUGAGGAAGAGGCUCUUGGCAGACAUGGAAUCUACUGUCACCUUAUUCUUGGAUUCUUAAGCCUCGUAAACACUGGUACUCUCUCCAGACCUCCCAAAGUCCAGGGAAUAUAUGAACAAUUCUACGCACUGGCUGAAACAGACACAUACCAACGGCAGCUUUGUCAAAAGAGUAGACACUGCAACUGACUGAGUGACGAGUGCAACAGAAUAGCUGUCUUCCAACCAACCAAAGGCCAGAACACACGUGGGUGGGCGGCCCUGCAAACCUGCCACUUCUGCAGUGAACCUUUGCAAUGGUCAAGAUGUUCUGGCUCAGCAAGGACUCAGAACAACCAGGAGGUUUGGAGAGCCACUCCAUGGAUCAGAGUACAAAUGUGGAGCAGAGGGAUACUGACCAGAGGGUACAGAUGGAGAUGAAGGACUGACCCUGAGAAGACAAUAAUUACUAGUUUUGUUUACUGUUAGCCCCCUCACCAGUCACCUGGGGCAGCAGUUUUUAUUAAAACCGCUGUAUUAAUAAAAUCAGAAAUGCUGGUUGGGAGAGCUGCGGCACACAAAGCCACGUCAGCCAAGAGAAACCUUGCAGGGGAGGAGACAGCAUUCCGAGCUCUCUGAAGGAACACAGUGUACUGCAGUGCUUUGGCCCUGGGGCCCAUGGGCUGCGGAGGCAGAGGACCCAUCAUGCACUGCUAAGAGUCUACUGUGGGCAGACACUGCUGGGAAUCAGAACAUGGAAGAUGCCCCGUUCCUCUCAAGGAAGGCAGAGCUGCCGGGAGUUCCAGACAGAGGCAGGCAGAGAGACCUCUGUGAGGUUGAUGUCAGCUUGGUCUACAUAGCCACUUCUCGGCUAACCCAGUGAGAUGCUGUCAUAGACAAAUUCCUUGGGGUGUCCAAGAUGUAAAGGGAGAGAGACAGCAGAGACACCCGAAGUCAAGUCUUCCCCUCACACUGCUCACUGCACACACGUUAGGAGAACACUCACACCUACAAUACACAGCUACACCUAAGGCUCCGGACACUGCAAAGAGGAGGCAGAAAGACUCUAAGAGCCAGGGGACCAGCAUUCUGUGAGGUUUUGUCUCCUAGUAACAUCAGAAGCUACGCCUGUAAAGUCUCACCAGCAUCACUGCCUAAACAUGACCUGACGAAGGAGGACACCAAUGGUUAUGUCAACUGAAUGGAAAAAAAGCCCAAUGAGACCUGAACCCUACACAAAAACUAUUGGCAACUGAGUGAAGCUGGAGCGAGAGGUGGCCCUCCCCAGGGAAAAGCACACCAACUCGUCAUCUAGUGUGGAAUGGUGACACAAGCAACCCUGUAUGGACUUAGCAGGCUGUAUUUAGAAAUAUAUAUGCAUGUGUAUACAGACACAUCUAUGCAUGCAAUAUCAACUGAUGAAAAAAGAGGCUAUGAGUUUGAAAGAGUGUGUGGGGAGGGGUAACUAGGAAGGUUUAGAAGGAGGAAAGGCCAAGGAGAAACAUUGUAACGAGAAUACAAGCUCAAAACUAAACCCCAACAAAAAGAGUAAAAAGCAUGCUUGCUUACAACCCCACAAGCCACCAGUCAUCGCUCCAGGCCUCUGGCUCCCUGGCUCCUUGGCUCCCUGCAGGUGGCACAGUGCCCCUAGACACCCACCUGGCCCAAGGCUAGCUCCUAUCAGAGUUAUAGUCAGCGAGCACCUCUUAGUGACUUCCACUGUCACCAUCUCCUAACCACAUUCCUCUUUUGCUCCACUCAAUGCUACUAGCCAGGGUGAGUGUAGUUUGUUGGUUUGUAUUGCCUAUAUUCUUCAAGAAAAAAAAAACGUUCCUGAGGGCAGGAACUCUCGUGUUACUUCACUGCUAUAAUCCUUGGGUCUGGAAAAGCACUCAAUGCAUAACAGGCAUUCAAUAAAUAUUUGUGGACUUGU